rnacentral:rRNA from 1 species
AGGGCACCACCAGGAGUGGAGCCUGCGGCUUAAUUUGACUCAACACGGGGAAACUUACCCGGCCUGGACACUGGAAGGAUUGACAGAUUGAGAGCUCUUUCUUGAUUCAGUGGGUGGUGGUGCAUGGCCGUUCUUAGUUGGUGGAGCGAUUUGUCUGGUUAAUUCCGAUAACGAACGAGACUCUAGCCUAUUAAAUAGGCUCCCGGCUUUUAAACGCCGGGAGGACUUCUUAGAGGGACAGGUGGCGGUUCAGCCGCACGAAAGAGAGCAAUAACAGGUCUGUGAUGCCCUUUGUUGUCCGGGGCCGCACGCGCGCUACACUGAAGAGAUCAGCGUGCUUUAUGUUCCUGCUCCGACCGGAGUGGGGAACCCAGUGAACCUUCUUCGUGAUUGGGAUAGAAGAUUGUAAUUAUUCUUCUUGAACGAGGAACUCCCAGUAAAUGCGAGUCAUAAGCUCGCGUUGAUUACGUCCCUGCCCUUUGUACACACCGCCCGUCGCUACUACCGAUUGAACGAUUU